AUUGAACGCUGGCGGCAGGCCUAACACAUGCAAGUCGAGCGGCAGCGGGAAAGUAGCUUGCUACUCUUGCCGGCGUGCGGUGGACGGGUGAGUAAUGCCUGGGAAAUUGCCCAGUCGAGGGGGCUAACAGUUGGAAACGACUGCUAAUACCGCAUACGCCCUACGGGGGAAAGCAGGGGAUCUUCGGGCCUUGCGCGAUUGGAUAUGCCCGGGUGGGAUUAGAUAGUUGGUGAGGUAAUGGCUCACCAAGGCGACGGUCCCUAGCUGGUUUGAGAGGAAGAUCAGCCACACUGGAACUGAGGCCCGUUCCAGACUCGUCCGGGAGGCCGCUGUGGGGAAUAUUGCACAAUGGGGGAAACCCGUAUGCAGCCAUGCCGCGUGUGUGAAGAAUGCCUACGGGUUGUAAAGCACUUUCAGCGAGGAGGAAGGGUUGAUGCCUAAUACGUAUCAACUGUGACGUUACUCGCAGAAGAAGCACCGGCUAACUCCGUGCCAGCCGCCGCGGUAAUAC
rnacentral:rRNA from 1 species